GACGAACGCUGGCGGCGUGCUUAACACAUGCAAGUCGAACGGAAAGGCCCUGCUUUUGUGGGGUGCUCGAGUGGCGAACGGGUGAGUAACACGUGAGUAACCUGCCCUUGACUUUGGGAUAACUUCAGGAAACUGGGGCUAAUACCGGAUAGGAGCUCCUGCUGCAUGGUGGGGGUUGGAAAGUUUCGGCGGUUGGGGAUGGACUCGCGGCUUAUCAGCUUGUUGGAGGGGUAGUGGCUUACCAAGGCUUUGACGGGUAGCCGGCCUGAGAGGGUGACCGGCCACAUUGGGACUGAGAUACGGCCCAGACUCCUACGGGAGGCAGCAGUGGGGAAUAUUGCACAAUGGGCGGAAGCCUGAUGCAGCAACGCCGCGUGCGGGAUGACGGCCUUCGGGUUGUAAACCGCUUUCGCCUGUGACGAAGCGUGGGUGACGGUAAUGGGUAAAGAAGCACCGGCUAACUACGUG
rnacentral:rRNA from 1 species